AUGCUCCGAUACAAGUACCCACAUACUAAGAUCGUUGCCGCCGAAUUCUACAAACCUUUCCUUACAUUUUUAGAUAUGCCGGGAGAUUUUGGACUGAAUAGCAGCACAACCCUCCUUGCCUGUUGUGGUGCAGGAGGCCCCCCUUAUAACUACGACUUCAACGCAGGAUACGGCCUGCCGGGUGUGAAGGCAUGCGCAGAUCCAUCUCAGGCGCUUCAUUGGGAUGGUUUCUACCUCACGGAAUCCGCCUACAGAGCCAUUACUGAUGGAUGGCUCCAUGGCCCAUACGCGGAUCCACCGAUAUUGCACAUUGCACGCUAG
rnacentral:rRNA from 1 species